rnacentral:rRNA from 1 species
UACGAAGGGGGCUAGCGUUGCUCGGGAUCACUGGGCGUAAAGCGCACGUAGGCGGGUCUUUAAGUCAGGGGUGAAAUCCUGGAGCUCAACUCCAGAACUGCCUUUGAUACUGAGGAUCUCGAGUCCGGGAGAGGUGAGUGGAACUCCGAGUGUAGAGGUGAAAUUCGUAGAUAUUCGGAAGAACACCAGUGGCGAAGGCGGCUCACUGGCCCGGUACUGACGCUGAGGUGCGAAAGCGUGGGGAGCAAACAGG